ensembl:rRNA 5S_rRNA 5S ribosomal RNA
UCAUUCUGCUUUGAUGUAGCCGGUUUGCUGAAUGUUUCCAGAAAAGUAUAGACACUGAUCUUGGAAGCUAAGCAGGGUCGGGCCUAGUUAGUACUUGGAUGGGAGACUGCUUGUAAACACUGGGUG